rnacentral:misc_RNA from 1 species
GAACUGCGAUAAGUAAUGUGAAUUGCAGAAUUCAGUGAAUCAUCGAGUCUUUGAACGCACAUUGCGCCCCCUGGCAUUCCGGGGGGCAUGCCUGUCCGAGCGUCAUUGCUGCCCUUCAAGCCCGGCUUGUGUGUUGUGUCGUCGUCCCCUCCGGGGGACGGGCCCGAAAGGCAGCGGCGGCACCGCGUCCGGUCCUCGAGCGUAUGGGGCUUUGUCACCCGCUCGAUAAGGACCGGCCGGGCGCCAGCCGGCGUCUCCAACCUUUUUUUCUCAGGUUGACCUCGGAUCAGGUAGGGAUACCCGCUGAACUUAAGC